GCCUCAGCAUCCACAUUGUCCAUCGGAACGUAGUUGGUCACUGCGGCGGCAGAACCAGUGCGGAACACGAACAGCUACGACUAGUCGCUCACUGUCUCACUUGGGGCCAAACUCUACUUUAGCUUUACAAUGGUGGCUACUCCCCGCAUGCGAGCUGCUUCUGAAAAGCACGCUAAGAAUAUCACGCAAAGAGGCAACGUUCAGAAGUCAUCCAAGGCAGUGGAGGAGAGACCGCCUGUGGGUCCUUGGCUGUUGGGACUUUUCAUCUUCGUCGUGUGCGGUUCUGCCAUCUUCCAAAUAAUCCAGAGCAUUCGAGCGGGCUUCUAAGUUGAUCGUGUACGGUUGGAACUCGAUUCUCAGCGCAAUUCGGCAAUCGGCUCUUUUCGCGAUCGAUGAUACAGUAAUGCAAUAGUCUUCUGCGGGUAGCGUACUCCCUGACCACCGUGUCGAAAUCAAGUCGAAAGUAGAUCUAUCAAGUUCCGACGUCCACAUCUUGUACAUUCUAACACAAUGUUCGUUUUAUUUCUAUUCUGUUUUCCAAGAGAGCAAAGUAUUCUCAGAUUACAAAGAUGAUGAAAAUAAAGAACUACGCGGGUUUUU